rnacentral:lncRNA from 1 species
CCCUCUGUAAAAAUACAACACUUUACAACAUCAAGGGCGAUGGAAAUAAACCCAAAAGCAACUAGCCAAACAAGCCUUCUAUUCGUCCGUAGCUUUUCAAUUAGCCAUCCCGUCUGUACCUCUGAAAAUGUUUUUUUAAAAAACUUUGGGGUGAGAACAAAGCCACACGUUCUCAGUAGGGAACGUGAAUGCCGCAAUAAACAGAGUAAAUACAAAUAGCUAGUUCAUAUCACAAAAACAAUUUCACUUAAAACAGUUUUAAAUUCCUUUCUUUAAAUCACGUUACUUACACAAAAAUCCAGUCACAUUAACAGUUCCUUAUCCAUAAACAACAUUCCUAAAUACAUUAUUAAGACUACAACACAAGUAAAAUAUUCAUCAAGCACACAAGCAAAUCACCAAAACAACAGCUCAAUCACAAAUGAACAAUAAAGCAAACGCAAUCAAAUGUAAAUGCGCAAACAACAUGAUGCAUGCCUGUUCCUAGCGCAGACCAUGAGCUCAUGCGUCGGUUGUCUACCCGCAACUCGACGUUACUCGGAGUGAACCCCGAAUAUGGUCCCUUUACUGUGUCAAUUAGACACCUUGGCAUCACGGUUACCCGUGUCAAUUAGGCCUCAUUAUAAUAACAGUUCAAUGUGUAUCACAGUAAGGAACAGUGCUAUCAAUUAGGCGAACAUUCCCGCAUUAGCAAUCUCAAGCUAUCAGUUAGGCGGGCCCUUUCGCAUUAGCAGUUUGGCACAAAAGCCCAUUCAAUAUAAUUCUCAACUUUUAUUUCAUUCCUUGUUCCUCAUUCUUUUUCUUUCCCUUUAAGUAUCUUUUCCAUCCUUUAUUUCUUACUUUCUUUCCUUUCCAUUAUGCCUCCGCAUCGUCUUACAACUAAACACACCUCCGCAUCACCAAGUAGCUAAAAGUACCUCCACAUCACCAUGAAACUAGGCGUACCUCCGCAUCACCAUUUAACUUUAAACGUUUCCUAGAGAUAACUUACACACCUUUGUUUAACUAAGUUCAUACAUUCUGCUAAAUUUGGACAUAUCCUUUAGGUCUAAGCCAAGUUUUACCACGUUUGGAUUAGAAUUGAAUUAGAUAGCCAACUUAAUAAAAUCUGUUGCUGCACUAAAGGGAAUUUAGAAAAAAAAUACAGCAAGCAGUUCUGUUUUUAAUAAAUCUGUAAUAAAUUCAAUUCUAAUCCAUUACUUCUAAAUUUUGGUGAGGAUAUACUUAACACUCAUAAGUUUUAGGACAAAUAAAUUUCAGAUCCAUAGCAUCUCGUUUGGUUAAUUAAAAGUUAGUUGGAAGUGCUGCCCUGUUUCUUUAAAUUAGUUCUGAAUUUCCUGCAAACAGCCCAACUUCCAAGAGACAUAACUAACUCUACAAAAUAGAAAUGGAUGUGAAAUUUAUACUCACUUAAAAUAGACUGAUAUAUCUUUAAAACCCUUUUGGAAGCAACUCAAAAUUCCAAAUAAAUCAAAAGUUAUAGCGUCUGGAAGUUGGUACUGCAGAACCAGAAAACCAGAAAAUUCUGCAGCAACCACUAAACUUCAAAAAUUCAUAUCUUCCAAACCACUUGGCCAAAUUUCCUGAAAUUUUUAUGAAGAAAUCUUGACUUCUUGAAGUUUGACAGAAAAAUAAUUUGGAUAAAGAAUUAUGUCUAGAUUUCUCCCAGUUUUUAUUUUAAGCUGCUGCCAAUUAUGCAGAAAAUUCUGCAUUAAGUAAUUUUAACAACCCUUCAUACCAUAUUUUAUAUUCAAGCCUAAAAUUCCUCUAAAACCAUAAUUCUAACUUUCUUUAAACUAACAAAAUUUGCCCAAGAAUGCUUAAUUCAAUAUAUCACCACUUCACAUUAUAGGUGCAACGUAAUCAUAUUAUCACAGCAUCCAUUCUUUAGCAUCUCAUCUAUCACAACAUAUCUCAAGUUAUGAUUCAUCAAAUAAAUUUCCAGCAGCCAUCUCAAUAUUCCAUACUCAAAACCACCAUCAACAAGUACUAACAUCAUGUAUCACUUCAAAACACACAACAUCAUCAAUAAUUACUACAUGAAAUCAUUAAACCAAUCACCAAUCACAGCUAUGAUUCAACUCAAUUCCAACAAUUAUUCACACAAAGAAGCCAUAAACUAUUUGCAAUUACUCAUUUAAUGUUAUUGGCGUUCAUACUUUAAAACCUUUAUUUUUAAAACAAACCCCCUACCUUUAUUUGUCGAACCCGUAGGAACUAACCGCGAUAAUCCCCUUUCUUUAUCCCUUAAUUUUCAACAGCGGCAGCAACCCUCAAUGCAGCCAGAGCAGCGGCAGUAGCCUCAACUCCUUCAAGGCAGCAACAGCGACAACCGCACCAACUAUGAUUAUCCCAGAGAUGCAUUAGCAAUGAAGGUUUCGGAAAUCGAAAAAACUGGAAUUAGAACAAGGAGCAUGUUCGUCAAAUCGAGAAAUAGUGGCAGCAGCUAAACGGUGGCAAGAAUGGUGACUCCAUGGUGGCGUGCAACUCGCCAGCGGCCGUUGCAGUGGCGGAGGUCCCCC